rnacentral:rRNA from 1 species
CCCUACGGGGCGCAGCAGGCGCGAAAACUUUACAAUGCGAGCAAUCGUGAUAAGGGAACUCCGAGUGCCCGUAAAAUCGGGCUGUCCGCCAGUUUAAAUCACUGGUGAAGAAAGGGCCGGGCAAGACCGGUGCCAGCCGCCGCGGUAAUACCGGCGGCUCGAGUGGUGGCCACUAUUACUGGGCUUAAAGCGUUCGUAGCUGGCUUGUUAAGUCUCUGGGGAAAUCUUCCGGCUUAACCGGAAGGCGUCUCAGGGAUACUGGCAGGCUAGGGACUGGAAGAGGUGAGAGGUACUCCAGGGGUAGGAGUGAAAUCCUGUAAUCCUUGGGGGACCACCUGUGGCGAAGGCGUCUCACCAGGACGGCUCCGACAGUGAGGAACGAAAGCUGGGGGAGCAAACCGGAUUAGAUACCCGGGUAGUCCCAGCUGUAAACGAUGCGCGUUAGGUGUAUCGGUGACCACGAGUCACCGAGGUGCCGAAGAGAAAUCGUGAAACGCGCCGCCUGGGAAGUACGGUCGCAAGGCUGAAACU